rnacentral:rRNA from 1 species
UACGUAGGGUGCGAGCGUUAAUCGGAAUUACUGGGCGUAAAGCGUGCGCAGGCGGUUCGUUAUGUCUGAUGUGAAAGCCCCGGGCUCAACCUGGGAAUGGCAUUGGAAACUAGCGGGCUGGAGUGUGGCAGAGGGGGGUGGAAUUCCACGUGUAGCAGUGAAAUGCGUAGAGAUGUGGAGGAACACCGAUGGCGAAGGCAGCCCCCUGGGCUAACACUGACGCUCAUGCACGAAAGCGUGGGGAGCAAACAGG